GACGAACGCUGGCGGCGUGCCUAAUACAUGCAAGUCGAGCGGAGCUUAUCCUUCGGGAUAAGCUUAGCGGCGGACGGGUGAGUAACACGUAGGCAACCUGCCCCACAGACUGGGAUAACUACCGGAAACGGUAGCUAAUACCGGAUAAUCCCUCUCUUCACCUGGAGAGAGGCUGAAAGACGGAGCAAUCUGUCACUGUGGGAUGGGCCUGUGGCGCAUUAGCUAGGUGGUGAGGUAACGGCUCACCAAGGCGACGAUGCGUAGCCGACCUGAGAGGGGGAUCGGCCACACUGGGACUGAGACACGGCCCAGACUCCUACGGGAGGCAGCAGUAGGGAAUCUUCCGCAAUGGACGAAAGUCUGACGGAGCAACGCCGCGUGAGCGAUGAAGGCCUUCGGGUCGUAAAGCUCUGUUGUCAGGGAAGAACAAGUACCGGAGUAACUGCCGGUACCUUGACGGUACCUGACCAGAAAGCCACGGCUAACUACGUGCCAGCCGCCGCAGUAAUAC
rnacentral:rRNA from 1 species